rnacentral:rRNA from 1 species
UACGUAGGGGGCUAGCGUUAUCCGGAAUUACUGGGCGUAAAGGGUGCGUAGGUGGUUUCUUAAGUCAGAGGUGAAAGGCUACGGCUCAACCGUAGUAAGCCUUUGAAACUGGGAAACUUGAGUGCAGGAGAGGAGAGUGGAAUUCCUAGUGUAGCGGUGAAAUGCGUAGAUAUUAGGAAGAACACCAGUGGCGAAGGCGAUUCUCUGGACUGUAACUGACGCUGAGUCUCGAAAGCGUGGGGAGCAAACAGGAUUAGAUACCCCCGUAGUCCCUGAGCGGG